CAUUCUUGGGUCGGACUUCAAAC
rnacentral:miRNA from 1 species